rnacentral:rRNA from 1 species
UACGAAGGGGGGCUAGCGUUGUUCGGAAUCACUGGGCGUAAAGCGCACGCAGGCGGAUUGAUAAGUCAGGGGUGAAAUCCCGGAGCUCAACUUCGGAAUUGCCUUUGAUACUGUCAAUCUCGAGUCCGGGAGAGGUGGAGUGGAAUUCCUAGUGUAGAGGUGAAAUUCGUAGAUAUUAGGAAGAACACCAGUGGCGAAGGCGCUCACUGGCCCGGUACUGACGCUCAUGUGCGAAAGCGUGGGGAGCAACAGG